AGCAGCCGCGGUAAUUCCAGCUCCAAUAGCGUAUAUUAAAGUUGUUGCAGUUAAAAGCUCGUAGUUGAAUUUCGGGGUUAGUAGGCUGGUCAUGCCACCGGUAUGUACUGGUCUUACUGAUUCCUCCUUCCUGAUGAACUGUAAUGCCAUUAAUUUGGUGUUGCAGGGAAUCUGGACUGUUACUUUGAAAAAUUAGAGUGUUUAAAGCAGGCUAACGCUUGAAUACAUUAGCAUGGAAUAAUGAAAUAGGACGUUCGAUCCUAUUUUGUUGGUUUCUAGGAUUGACGUAAUGAUUAAUAGGGAUAGUUGGGGGCAUUAGUAUUCAAUUGUCAGAGGUGAAAAUUCUUGGAUUUAUUGAAGACUAACUACUGCGAAAGCAUUUGCCAAGGAUGUUUUCAUUAAUCAAGAACGAAGUUAGGGGAUCGAAGACGAUCAGAUACCGUCGUAGUCUUAACCAUAAAACUAUGCCGACUAGGGAUCGGAUGAUGUUGAUUUUUUAAUGACUCAUUCGGCACCUUAC
rnacentral:rRNA from 1 species